AGCAUUUCAUUCUAAAUUCAUCUAUUAUAAUUAUUUUCCAAGUUACCAUCUAACAUUUGCCUAAUCAUUACAGUGGACAUUGGUUGUUGCUCGCAAUCAAUCCUAUCCGAGAAAUUGUGUAUUAUCUUGACUCGUUAGGAAAUGAUUGGACAACAUACCCGGAUAUGAAGCGUCCUACAAGCUUUUCGGGCCCAACGAGAUAUUCAAACCUCAAGGAGGGGCGCCAACUCCAUUACAUGGAUUAAAGUGGCGUGUCCUCAACAACGUAAUCAAAUAGAUUGCGGGUAUUUCAUGUUGAGGUUUAUGCGAGAUACUCUUGCUUUGGGCCGAUUAGAGAUUCCC